GUUGAAACACAGGUUCCUGUAUGAUCACCAGAAUUAAGCAAUGUUGAGCCUGGUCAGUACCUUGAUGGGUGACUGCUUGGGAAUACCAGGUGCUGUAAG